rnacentral:rRNA from 1 species
UAUUAUUUUAGCGGCGGACGGGUGAGUAACGUGUGGGUAACCUGCCUUUUACUGGGGAAUAAUCACUGGAAACGGUGACUAAUACCGCAUACGGUUCUUGGAAGGCAUCUUCUAGGAAAGAAAGGAUUUAUUCGGUAAAAGAUGGGCCCGCAUCUGAUUAGCUAGUUGUGAGAUAACAGCCCACCAAGGCGACGAUCAGUAGCCGACCUGAGAGGGUGACCGGCCACAUUGGGACUGAGACACGGCCCAAACUCCUACGGGAGGCAGCAG